rnacentral:tRNA from 1 species
GGGAGUAUAGCUCAGUUGGUUCAGAGCAUCUGCCUUACAAGCAGAGGGUCAUAGGUUCGAAUCCUGUUACUCCCACCA